AUUUAAAUAGUUUAUAUAAAAUUUUGAUUUGUGGGGUCAAAGAAAUUAACAAUUAAUUUUAAAUA
rnacentral:tRNA from 1 species